rnacentral:rRNA from 1 species
GAUGAACGCCGGCGGUGUGCCUAAUACAUGCAAGUCGUACGCACUGGCCCAACUGAUUGAUGGUGCUUGCACCUGAUUGACGAUGGAUCACCAGUGAGUGGCGGACGGGUGAGUAACACGUAGGUAACCUGCCCCCGGAGCGGGGGAUAACAUUUGGAAACAGAUGCUAAUACCGCAUAACAACAAAAGCCACAUGGCUUUUGUUUGAAAGAUGGCUUUGGCUAUCACUCUGGGAUGGACCUGCGGUGCAUUAGCUAGUUGGUAAGUAACGGCUUACCAAGGCGAUGAUGCAUAGCCGAGUUGAGAGACUGAUCGGCCACAAUGGAACUGAGACACGGUCCAUACUCCUACGGGAGGCAGCAGUAGGGAAUCUUCCACAAUGGGCGCAAGCCUGAUGGAGCAACACCGCGUGAGUGAAGAAGGGUUUCGGCUCGUAAAGCUCUGUUGUUGGAGAAGAACGUGCGUGAGAGU